GUGGACAAUUAGUGUGUUGCAUCUGCUGAGAACUUUACGACUGUAAUGGAGGCCAAGGUUGAAGGCAUUGCUGCGUGGCUAGUCUAUUACACGCACAAGAUGGUUACAAGAACACCUAACGGAAUGACCAAGGAUCGAGGAAGCCAUCUGAACCAUGAUGGCCCUUCGCAGAUGACUUAAGAGAGUUUUGCUUAUCUCUUUAUGCGGAUGGACCUCUUUAAUUUGAUCACCAAAUAGUAUGAGAAAACUCUGACACAUUAAAGCAACACACGCCAGGAAAUUAUUGAUCACCAGGCCAGUGCUUGAGCCACAAAUAAUCUAUAGUUGCUCUAUUUUGUAGAACUGUGGUUCCGUUUGCCUUUCUCUUAACUAAUUUCUUCUAAUUUUUUUUUUGCUGUAAUAUCAAUAGUUGUACUAAUCAUGCAAGCGAUUUUGGAAACCUC
rnacentral:lncRNA from 1 species